rnacentral:rRNA from 1 species
AAAAUAUUCAUAGUCAAAGUUUUGAUUUGUUCUGUCGGUUGAUAAACAUAAAAGUUAAAAAGAUAUGAUUAAAAAGGUAUAUAAACGACCAUAGUUCAGGUAUCACAACUUAUUAGAAUAGCUGGUGUAAUUCUAACAGAAAAUUACACCGACACUGACACUGAGAGACGAAAGCUGGGGGAGCGAAUGGGAUUAGAUACCCCAGUAGUCCUAGCCGCCGUAAACGAUGGAUACUAGGCGCUGUGCGUAUCGACCCGUGCAGUGUUGUACCUAACACGUUAAGUAUCCCGCCU